CCUACGGGUGGCAGCAGUGAGGAAUAUUGGUCAAUGGACGAGAGUCUGAACCAGCCAAGUAGCGUGAAGGAUGACUGCCCUAUGGGUUGUAAACUUCUUUUAUAUGGGAAUAAAAUGUUCCACGUGUGGGCUUUUGUAUAUACCAUAUGAAUAAGGAUCGGCUAACUCCGGGCCAGCAGCCGCGGUAAUACGGAGGAUUCGAGCGUUAUCCGGAUUUAUUGGGGUUAAAGGGAGCGUAGAUGGGUUGUUAAGUCAGUUGUGAAAGUUUGCGGCUCAACCGUAAAAUUGCAAUUGAUACUGGCAGUCUUGAGUACAGUUGAGGUAGGCGGAAUUCGUGGUGUAGCGGUGAAAUGCUUAGAUAUCACGAAGAACUCCGAUUGCGAAGGCAGCUUACUAAACUGCCACUGACAUUGAUGCUCGAAAGUGUGGGUAUCAAACAGGAUUAGAUACCCUUGUAGUC
rnacentral:rRNA from 1 species